rnacentral:tRNA from 2 species
GCCGGGGUAGUCUAGAGCAAAGGACAAUCUGGUAAGGCGCAAGCCUGGAAAGCUUGUGACUCGCAAGGGUCUCGUGGGUUCAAAUCCCACUCCCGGCG